rnacentral:rRNA from 1 species
CAGCCGCCGCGGUAAUACGUAGGGGGCGAGCGUUGUCCGGAAUUAUUGGGCGUAAAGCGCGCGCAGGCGGUCCUUUAAGUCUGAUGUGAAAGCCCACGGCUCAACCGUGGAGGGUCAUUGGAAACUGGGGGACUUGAGUGCAGGAGAGGAGAGCGGAAUUCCACGUGUAGCGGUGAAAUGCGUAGAGAUGUGGAGGAACACCAGUGGCGAAGGCGGCUCUCUGGCCUGUAACUGACGCUGAGGCGCGAAAGCGUGGGGAGCAAACAGGAUUAGAUACCCUGGUAGUCCACGCCGUAAACGAUGAGUGCUAAGUGUUAGAAGGGUCAUACCCUUUAGUGCUGUAGCUAACGCGAUAAGCACUCCGCCUGGGGAGUACGGCCGCAAGGCUGAAACUUAAAGGAAUUGGCGGG